rnacentral:rRNA from 1 species
GACGAACGCUGGCGGCGUGCCUCAUACAUGCAAGUCGAGCGGACUGACUUCGGUCAGUCAGCGGCGAACGGGUGAGUAACACGUGGGUAACCUGCCCAUAAGAGGGGAUAACAUCCGGAAACGGGUGCUAAUACCGCAUAGUUUUCUUGAUCGCAUGAUUGAGAAAGGAAGACGGCCUUUGUGCUGUACGCUUAUGGAUGGACCCGNGGCGUAUUAGUUAGUUGGUGAGGUAACGGCUCACCAAGCGAUGAUACGUAGCCGACUGAGA